rnacentral:rRNA from 1 species
GACGUAGGGCGCGAGCGUUGUCCGGAUUUAUUGGGCGUAAAGAGCUCGUAGGCGGCUUGUCGCGUCGACUGUGAAAACCCGCGGCUCAACUGCGGGCCUGCAGUCGAUACGGGCAGGCUAGAGUUCGGUAGGGGAGACUGGAAUUCCUGGUGUAGCGGUGAAAUGCGCAGAUAUCAGGAGGAACACCGGUGGCGAAGGCAGGUCUCUGGGCCGAUACUGACGCUGAGGAGCGAAAGCGUGGGGAGCGAACAGG